UUUAUUGGGCAACUAUGGUGUACUGAGCACUGGGCUGCGGGGUAGCCGUGCAUUAUCUCACUUACUCUUCAACACCUUAUGAAGGAAAGCUACCCUUAGCUCCAUUUUACAAAGGAAACUAAAUCAGCAAGUCAGUUUCUAGAAGGCCAUGGGAGUAAACAGAAGCAUGAAGAAUGAAUCCUCAGUGCAUCUAGGAAGAGUGCCCAGGUCUUAACCUCUACCUUAUUCUCAACCAGGGCCCGUGUACCCCUAUUCCGGCCUGCUUCUGGUGCUGGGCCUCCAAGACCCAGAAAUGACUGAUGAGUAAAAUGGGGACAGUGUGAUGACAGUACUUCAUAGAGUUUUAUGUGAGGGCGAAGUGAGAUCCUACAUGUCUGGCACAAAGCUGACGUUUGGUCUCAGCCUGAUCCAGUUGAGGGAAGCCACUGACCUACAGCACAAAGGAAGUGUCCCAACCCAGGCCAGAGCUCCCGGCCCUUGGCAUGGAGAACGGCACAUAGCAAAUGCUCAGGAGAUUUUGUUGACUCAAAUAAGAGAUAUCUAAAACAGGACAAACCAUGGUGUUUUUAAGAAACAAAA